CCUACGGGAGGCAGCAGUGGGGAAUAUUGGUCAAUGGACGAAAGUCUGACCCAGCCACGCCGCGUGAAGGAUGACUGCUCUAUGGGUUGUAAACUCCUUUUAUAUGGGAGUAAAACAGAGUAUGCAUACACUCUUGUAUGUACCAUAUGACUAAGGAUCGGCUAACUCCGUGCCAGCAGCCGCGGUAAUACGGAGGAUCCGAGCGUUAUCCGGAUUUAUUGGGUUUAAAGGGAGCGUAGGUGGAUUGUUAAGUCAGUUGUGAAAGUUUGCGGCUCAACCGUAAAAUUGCAGUUGAAACUGGCAGUCUUGAGUACAGUAGAGGCAGGCGGAAUUCGUGGUGUAGCGGUGAAAUGCUUAGAUAUCACGAAGAACACCGAGUGCGAAGGCAGCUCGCUGGACUGCAACUGACACUGAUGCUCGAAAGUGUGGGGAUCAAACAGGAUUAGAUACCCGAGUAGUC
rnacentral:rRNA from 1 species